rnacentral:rRNA from 1 species
UACGUAGGGUGCUAGCGUUGUUCGGAAUCAUUGGGCGUAAAGCGCGUGUAGGCGGUUGGGUAAGUCUUGUGUGAAAUCCCUGGGCUUAACCGAGGAAGUGCAUGAGAAACUACCCAGCUGGAAGACGGCAGAGGAAGGUGGAAUUCCAAGUGUAGAGGUGAAAUUCGUAGAUAUUUGGAGGAAUACCGGUGGCGAAGGCGGCCUUCUGGACCGUUCUUGACGCUGAGACGCGAAAGCGUGGGGAGCAAACAGG